rnacentral:lncRNA from 7 species
AAAAAGCUGCAGCCUCAAAGCUGAGUCUGCACAGAAAGAGCAGCUCCUCCAACUGCAGAGGGAUCUGUGUUCAUUUUCUGAUUCAGCUCAGUGUGAGUCGGGAUGUAUUUGACCCCUCCUGAAUGUGAUGCUGCAGCCAGGUCUGGCUGUGAUACGGACGGACCACACAAACGUGCAACUCUUCCCAUUCAAUGGAAAUUAUUUUUCACUUUUUGCAUGGCUAAUGGCACUCAACUGAUGAAAAUCUACUUAAAUAUGGAUGAAAUUCAUCUUAAACAGCCUUGGAGAGAACACCGUCAGCAUACAGAUCUGUGCAGUCAUGAACUGAUGUAUAUGAAUUUACAUUGGGCAUCUGCUCCAUCUGCUCAAGAGCUGAAAAACACACUGGGAAAACUGUGCCAGCUCAAGGUCAUAAGAACUAAAGAAUCCACAUGAGUGCACAUCCUCUGGGCAUCACCAGUGCACAGCACCCAGUGGUGAUGAAUAAGGAUGGGGAAGGGCAGAGACCGAGAACUCCACAUAACACAGGGCUUAAAUUCUCCACAAGCAGUUUUCAGGUGCUUGUUCCUCACCAUCCUCAGACCACCUCUGGCAUAUGAAGUUUGAUUCAAAGAAAUACAAAACUGAAUUAACUAGACUCAAUGAGAACUGCAUUUGGAAUGAGCCAUAUAAAUCCUCUCUGAAAAAUUAAGUUCCAAAUGGUGAAAAUGAAAUCAAUUAUCUUUUACUCCCAUGUCUCAAUAAAGAUACUCUUCAUCUCUAAAAUAGUAUUUUUUUUCAUAGUAAGAUGUAUAAUGAAAAUAAAUUGAUUAAUGUUUUGUAAAACAUUCAGAGACUUCAAUAAUGACUCAAAACCAUGACAGACUACGUUUCCAACUCCAGACACGGGUAAUAAAUUACCGGCAAAAACCCGAAAUAAUCAUAUAAUGAAAAAGAGAUGUUCACUUGAGCACCACCCAGCCUUUCCAGGAACCACUUUUAUGAAGAACAUAUUCAUGAAGUGAGCAAACUGAAAUUCUAUGGGCAACAUUCAGUGAGGCACAUCUGAAAUCCUAAGUGCUUGUCCUUGGACCCUGAUUCUUAAACUAGUUUAUGUUGAUAAAAACCCAAACUGUAACUUCAUUGCAGUUCUGCUGUCUGAGAAGAAGGCCACAGGCUGUCUCAGCAGUCAGGCUGCAAAUGCAAGCAGCUCUGAGCAGCAGCUGGCUGAUGCACCUCCCCUGCUCGUGCUACCUGUUCUUUUUCAUUAAAUAAAAGCUUUUGGUU